GCAGGANUGAGAGUUAAUAUAAGUGAUUUAUUAACUUGCUUGACUAGGUCUUAUAAAGUUCUGGAUAAAGCUGAUAAUGACAACUUUAUAUCCAUAGGUCUCGACUAAAUCUUGUGCCAGCAGUCGCGGUAAGACAAGGGAGACGAGUGUUAUUCAUCUUUAACAGGUAUAUUGGGUACCUAGACUGUGUACGAAGGCUAUAAUAGUACCUGUUACACUAGAGUUUAAUAUGUGAGAGGAAGAUGUCAGAAUUAUUGGUGUAGAGAUGAAAUCCUUUAAUACCUAUAGGACUGAUAAUGGCGAAGGCAAACCUCUAUGUAUAUAUACUUUAAAAUAAAAAAUUAUUAUCUAGAAGAUAAACUUAGAUAAUAAAUAACUACGAAAAAUAAUAAAUUUUAGAAAAAAAAAAUAAAGUAUUAGAACUGACGUUGAGGGACGAAGGCUCAGAGAGUGAAGAGGAUUAGAUACCCCCGUAGCCUGGGCAGACAAUGAUGAGUGCCAUAGGUUGGCUUUUGGCUGAACUAUAAAUGAAAGUGGAAGCACUCCACCUCAAGAGUAAUGUGGCAACGCAGGAACUGAAAUCAUUAGACCGUUUCUGAAACCAGUAGUGAAGUAUGUUAUUUAAUUCGAUGAUCCGCGAAUAACCUUACCACAAUUUGAAUGCUCUAAGGGAUGACUGCUGAGAUAUAUCUCAGCAGUUACAAAUUAGACCACAUGCGUUGCAUGGCUGUCUUCAGUUAAUGUCGUGAGAUUUGGUUAGGUCCAUUAAAUUAACGUAAACCCUUGUUUUAUUUAAAAAUAAUAAGGCAGCUCUCCGCUUACAAUUGGAUAUGAUAACAGGACUAAGAC
rnacentral:rRNA from 1 species